GACGAACGCUGGCGGCGUGCUUAACACAUGCAAGUCGAGCGGAGCGGCGAACGGGUGAGUAACGCGUGAGUAACUGCCCCCCUCCCUGGGAUAACAGUUGGAAACGGCUGCUAAUACCGGAUAGUGGGGGAUGACUCGCGUCCUAUCAGCUGGUGGGGGGGGUAGUGGCCUACCAAGGCGACGACGGGUAGCCGGCCUGCGAGGGCGACCGGCCACAUUGGGCUGGGAUACGGCCCAAACUCCUACGGGAGGCAGCAGUGGGGAAUAUUGCACAAUGGGGGAAACCCUGACGGAGCAACGCGCGGGAGUGAUGACGGCCUUCGGGUUGUAAAGCUCUGUUAAUCGGGACGGCGAAUAGUGCGAGGAUUUGACGGUACCGGAAUAGAAAGCCACGGCUAACUACGUGCCAGCAGCCGCGGUAAUAC
rnacentral:rRNA from 1 species